rnacentral:rRNA from 1 species
UACGUAGGGUGCAAGCGUUGUCCGGAAUUAUUGGGCGUAAAGAGCUCGUAGGCGGUCUGUCGCGUCUGCUGUGAAAACUCAGGGCUUAACCCUGAGCUUGCAGUGGGUACGGGCAGACUAGAGUGCGGUAGGGGAGACUGGAAUUCCUGGUGUAGCGGUGAAAUGCGCAGAUAUCAGGAGGAACACCGGUGGGCGAAGGCGGGGUCUCUGGGCCGUAACUGACGCUGGAGGAGCG